rnacentral:rRNA from 1 species
GUGGGGAAUUUUGCGCAAUGGGCGAAAGCCUGACGCAGCAACGCCGCGUGAGUGAUGAAGGUCUUCGGAUCGUAAAGCUCUGUCGGCGGGAACGAUGCGUUCGCUGGCUAAUAUCCAGCGGACUCGACGGUACUCGCAAAGGAAGCACCGGCUAACUCUGUGCCAGCAGCCGCGGUAAGACAGAGGGUGCGAGCGUUGUUCGGAAUUAUUGGGCGUAAAGGGCGCGUAGGCGGCUUGGCAAGUUGGAUGUGAAAGCCCUGGGCUCAACCCGGGAAGUGCAUCCAAUACUGCUUGGCUUGAGUGCUGGAGAGGGUGGUGGAAUUCCCAGUGUAGAGGUGAAAUUCGUAGAUAUUGGGAGGAACACCCGUGGCGAAGGCGGCCACCUGGACAGACACUGACGCUGAGGCGCGAAAGCGUGGGGAGCAAACAGGAUUAGAAACCCUUGUAGUCC